AUUGAACGCUGGCGGAAUGCUUUACACAUGCAAGUCGAACGGCAGCACGGGGGCAACCCUGGUGGCGAGUGGCGAACGGGUGAGUAAUACAUCGGAACGUGCCCAGUCGUGGGGGAUAACGUAGCGAAAGUUACGCUAAUACCGCAUACGAUCUACGGGUGAAAGCGGGGGACCGUAAGGCCUCGCGCGAUUGGAGCGGCCGAUGUCAGAUUGGGUAGUUGGUGAGGUAAAGGCUCCCCAAGCCGACGAUCUGUAGCUGGGCUGAGAGGACGACCAGCCACACGGGGACUGAGACACGGCCCAGACUCCUACGGGAGGCAGCAGUGGGGAAUUUUGGGCAAUGGGCGCAAGCCUGAUCCAGCCAUUCCGCGUGCAGGACGAAGGCCUUCGGGUUGUGAACUGCUUUUGUACGGAACGAAAAGGCUCUGGUUAAUACCUGGGGCUCAUGACGGUACCGUAAGAAUAAGCACCGGCUAACUACGUGCCAGCCGCCGCCGUAA
rnacentral:rRNA from 1 species